UACGUAGGGGGCUAGCGUUGUCCGGAAUCAUUGGGCGUAAAGCGCGUGUAGGCGGCCCGGUAAGUCCGCUGUGAAAGUCGGGGGCUCAACCCUCGGAUGCCGGUGGAUACUGUCGAGCUCGAGUCCGGAAGAGGCGAGUGGAAUUCCUGGUGUAGCGGUGAAAUGCGCAGAUAUCAGGAGGAACACCAAUGGCGAAGGCGGCUCGCUGGGCCAUUCCUGACGCUGAGACGCGAAAGCUAGGGGAGCGAACGGG
rnacentral:rRNA from 1 species